rnacentral:rRNA from 1 species
GAGGAAUAAGCAUCGGCUAACUCCGUGCCAGCAGCCGCGGUAAUACGGGGGAUGCAAGCGUUAUCCGGAAUCAUUGGGCGUAAAGCGCCUGUAGGUUGUUUAAUAAGUCUGUUGUUAAAGACUAGGGCUUAACCCUAGAAAAGCAAUGGAAACUACUAGACUAGAGUAUGGCAGGGGUAGAGGGAAUUUCUAGUGUAGCGGUGAAAUGCGUAGAUAUUAGAAAGAACACCGGUGGCGAAAGCGCUCUACUGGACCAUUACUGACACUCAGAGGCGAAAGCUAGGGUAGCAAAAGGGAUUAGAUACCCCUGUAGUCCUAGCCGUAAACGAUGGAUACUAGAUGUUGUGCAUAAUGUACAGUAUCGUAGCUAACGCGUUAAGUAUCCCGCCUGGGGAGUACGCUCGCAAGGGUGAAACUCAAAGGAAUUGACGGGGGCCCGCACAAGCGGUGGAGCAUGUGGUUUAAUUCGAUGCAACGCGAAGAACCUUACCAGGGCUUGACAUACUACAGAUUCUUUUGAGAAAAAGAAGUGCCUUCGGGAAUGUAGAUACAGGUGGUGCAUGGCUGUCGUCAGCUCGUGUCGUGAGAUGUUGGGUUAAGUCCCGCAACGAGCGCAACCCUUAUUUUUAGUUACUAAUUCGUUAGGUUCUCUAGAAAGACUGCCGGUGACAAACCGGAGGAAGGUGAGGAUGACGUCAAGUCAGCAUGCCCCUUAUGUCCUGGGCUACACACGUGCUACAAUGGUUAAGACAAAGAGUCGCGAGCUCGCGAGAGUCAGCUAAUCUCAUAAACUUAGCCUAAGUUCAGAUUGUAGGCUGCAACUCGCCUACGUGAAG